rnacentral:rRNA from 1 species
GACAACAUUCAAAUCACGUACUAAUUCUCGUCUGAUCACUGAAGUCAAGCAAUGUUGAGUAUGAAUUCUUAGAUGAGGGUGAUCGCUUGGGAAUACCGUGUGAUAUUGCCC